AAACGUGCCAUUUUUUUCUUUUCAACCUGGCCCAUGCGGCGUACAGACCCGCCACAAAUACAAAGUUCCUCUGUCCACUCGGACGGAGUCUCCUUUGUAUUUGCACGGCGUACCAACAAUACAACAGGAUCUCAACCACAACCUACAUUUACCAAUCAACAACCAAGGCAUGAUAUGCAUUUCCAUACAGCUAACAAUCCUUAGAAUGAUGAAUGCCUCUAAGCACUCCUUAGGCGCUGGAUGAUGCAAUGCACAAUACAACAAACAUCCUAUUUAAAAGUGCUCCCCACACGGAAGCUUUUGUUUUUGAACUCUAAUUCAUUCAUCAUGAAAAACCAUUGAAAAUCUUUUUAAAACUGUUUCCCACACGGAAACUCUAUUUUAAAAACCAGCUACCUCGAGGGGUAGAAAUCCACGAUGCAUAACUACAAGAAAACCAAAUCUCCACAGAACCA
rnacentral:lncRNA from 1 species